UGAAGCUGCCAGCAAGGAACACAGGUGACUGGCAGAGGUCGGAUCAUUGGCCGUUGGGUAAAGACAAGGAUAAUGCCAGGGAGGUUCCUGAAUGUUCCUUGAGGAGAGACAUCAAGACAAACCCACUGACAUGAAGCAGGCCUUCCCCUGUCCAUGGGGCUUUUGCUGCAUGUGCCACAAGGAGACAGAGGCCCAGGGCUAAACCACCGUGUAAAAGCAUCGUUUAUCCCAUGAGGGAAGAUACAGAAGACCCUCAUCUGUCAGUUGGCUGUGUGCAAGGAGAUGCAUGUGAUAAAUCAAUCUGAGAGGAAGCGUGACUCCCCAGAGCAGGGACACUGCUAAAGAGGAUAUGGGCCCGCAGGCCGUCAUGCAAGGAAGGAUAUCAGUGCGGCCUCAGUCAAGAGAGAAAGCCAGACCACCACACUCAGGCUUGGCUGUAAGUACCCAGGCAUUCAGAAGAGUUGAACUCGGUGUUCUGGGCUUGAGUUUUGGUGGCACCUGCUUCCAACUGGCUUAUCGAGCUCGCAAAUUCACUGCAGUCCCUUAACGCAAAGGCACUUGGUAAGCUUUCCCUUACUCCUUGGGCUGAAAGGUGAAGUUGAACCUAGAGGGCUCAUGAGUGCUCUACCACAUUUUCGAGGUGCAAAGCCAAGCACAUGCAGAGAGGGAUUUGCCAUGGUACAUGUAAAGAUACGGGAAGCGAUGGGAGUACUCAUUUUGGGGCCAGGAAUGUGCUUUUGGUGCUAUAGCCAGGUCUGCUGCAAAAUUUCAGCUUGACAGCAAUGCCCAGGAUGCUAAGUGUGCCCUACUGAGAGAUCCUUCGCCCUGAGACGGGCACCAGCUGAUACAUAAAUUGACAUUUCCCCCCAGCUUUCCGAAGAGGCUUACAGCAGGUUCUCUAAUUGCACAAGUGUUUAGCACGUCCUGACUAAAUUUCUCCAGGCGCUGCUAAUGAAAGUGAAUCUACUGGGAUGACGAAUGGCUUCCUCUUCUCACCCACAGCUGCUGCAACUGUUUCUCGUGCCCCAGUGCUGCCUUGCUGACUCUUGGAUGCUGCCUGUGCAUGGCCAGGCACUGUGCAUGGGCAUACCCUGCCUGCUUGGUGUGGGUUAUCAGUGGUCAGUUCCCAUGUCAGCUAAUAGCUCUGGUGGAAGAGGACUGAUCUGUGAGUCUCUUGUUGUCCUCCUGUCCAUGCUGGGUGGGGAGACUGAAUAAAACACAUCGGAUGCUGCAGGAAGAUGCAAGAUUUGAAUAAAUUCCCCUUCCUUCUCCGUAAUCAAAACGUUUCUCCCCCGAGAACGCCUUGAUUAAUCGAUCUCACAACUGACAAAUCGAGGAUGGGAAUUCAAAAUCCAAUUGAAACGGAGGAAAACAACAUUAUGCACCAUCUGAUGCAGUCAGCGAUGUCACAGAAUGAAAUGACUGCAGAAAAACAGGGCCUUGUGCUGGAGGAGCCAUCAUUAAAAUGUGGCGAGGGUAUUAUUAAGUAAAAGAACAUUGAUUUUGUUUGAAGGAUUUGGCCGUCCAUAUUAAAUAUCAUCUCGGUAAUGUGAUCUCAGUAGUUGCUUGAAAUGUCAGCCUCACUUGGCUACAUCUGUUUGCUGGGGCUGCUGCUGGAAAAUGGAAAUGAAAAUUUCGUUCUUUAUCAGCCAUUGGUCUGCAUUAGCAACUUGAUAGGCUUCACCCAUACGGGGCUGAAUUAGCAUAGGAGCUCACUACAGGGAAUAUAGGUAUGCCAGGAACGCUGGUGUAUAUCAAACAUGCGUGACAGUAACAAGAUGAGUAAUUUAUGCAGGCAGAAGCAGCCACCAUAGCGGGAUAUUUCAAAGCCAGGAACCUCUGUAAGCUCUGGACUUUCAUGUGAUGUGCACUAUGGAUCCAACACCGGUCCAGGUCCCCUGCUGCAUGAGUACACGCCGUGCUGCUGGCUUCAGCUCCAUGUUCCUGCUUUGGGAGAGCAGGGAGCAUCUCUGCACCCACGGACACUGCUUCUGUCAGGUACCCAAAUACCAGUGUCCUUUGUAGUGAGGGAGGUAGAAAUGUGUCUGUGUUCUAUGAGAGUCCUGCUGAAGGCAGCCCUUGGCUGGGGCAGCCUACAAAGCCACUUGUCACUGCUGGGGACGUCUGUCUGUGUCUCUGGGAGAGGUGCUCAGCACUGCCACCAGCUCAACCUGCCAAGAGGAAAGCAGCAGCCGUGUCCCAGCCUGGGCAGGGGUUGGGACUGGGUGGGCUAUCAGAUCCCUACCAACCCAAGCCAUCCUAUGAUAUUUUCUAUGGAAAAAAAAAAGAAAGAAAGAAAAAAAAAAAAGGAAUAGGAGAAGAAAAUGGAAAGAGGAUACUUUUGUGUUUGUUGGGUGAGUCUGG
ensembl:lncRNA